rnacentral:lncRNA from 1 species
AACGCGACGCCGAAAACACGCGACUGACGACGACGAUACCCUCCUUUCUCCUCUUUUCAGGCCAAGUCUGUGUCCAAGGUCAUCAAGGCCGACAUCUACCCCGAGUUCGGCACCUACCCCGGCGGCGGCGAGUCCCCCAUCAUCCCCUUCGGCUCCGAGAAGAACGCCGAGCGUGAGGUCAUCCACGGCCGCUGGGCGAUGCUCGGCGUGACCGGUGCCUGGGCCGCCGAGAACGGCACCGGCAUCCCCUGGUUCACCGCCGGUACCCUCUGCACCCCCGACGACUGCACCGCCGUCGCGGACAAGUUCCCCGGCGCCGUCGCUCCCCUCGCCCCCGAGGGCUCCGGCUACCCCUCCUUCUGGGCCGUCCUCGCCAUCGAGGUCGUCCUCGUCGGCCUCGCUGAGGCUUACCGCACCGGCCUCUCCGACCCCGUCUUCGACGAGCUCACCGUCGGUGACGUGUCCCCCGGUGGCCGCUUCGACCCCCUCGGCCUCGCCGAGUCCGGUGACCUCGAGGAGCUCAAGAUCAAGGAGCUCAAGCACUGCCGCCUCUCCAUGUUCGCGUGGCUCGGCUGCAUCAUGCAGGGUCUCGCCACCCAGGAGGGCCCCAUCGCCAACUGGCAGGCGCACGUCGCGGACCCCGUCCACGCCAACGUGCUCACCAACGCCGCCUCCGGCUUCGGCUUCUACUAAAUUGUGCGACCUCGCACGAUGGUAGUCCGUCCUGUUGUACCACUUGACUCUAGCGUUAGGUAGUUAGCCAAGGGAGAGUUGUAACAAAGCUUCUCGCUUCCACAAGUCUUAUGCUCCCGCACUCGAAAAAGCGAAUCCUCCGAACCGUACUGAACCAAUGAACCAACGCGAGCUUCGCGGGAAAUUAGAAAGUUCCCGAUUCUCGCUUUGUGGACCAAUGGGAGCGCGGCAGCCGCCGAAUGGAUCCGCUAAAUCCUCAUCGAUGGUUUGUUUUCUUCGAUGAAAUCCAGUUCAGGAGCUUUUCAUUGGCUUUUCAAGAGACGAGAAUCAAUUGCUGCGCUGUGACUGGCCGAAAAGGGAGAUUCUGUUGGCCUGAUUCGCAUCAAAGUGAGUAAAAAGCUGACUCGCCGCAACUCCCUCGCCAUUCCAGCACACGCAACUUUGCAACACACACACCAAAACUCAUUACUACAAUCAUGGCCUGCAUUGCCUCCUCCUUCACCGGCUCCGUCGCGGCCCUCAAGGCGACCAAGAUCCAGGUGCGCAUCGCAUCAUGCGCCGUGUUCCGUGUCCGUUCUCUUCUUCGGCAAAUGCCCAAAAAAACGCCGAAAUCGCGGGCCAAGGCUCCGCCGAAAACACGCGACUGACGACGACGAUGCCCUCCUUUCUCCUCUUUUCAGGCCAAGUCUGUUUCCAAGGUCAUCAAGGCCGACAUCUACCCCGAGUUCGGCACCUACCCCGGCGGCGGCGAGUCCCCCAUCAUCCCCUUCGGCUCCGAGAAGAACGCCGAGCGUGAGGUCAUCCACGGCCGCUGGGCGAUGCUCGGCGUGACCGGUGCCUGGGCCGCCGAGAACGGCACCGGCAUCCCCUGGUUCACCGCCGGUACCCUCUGCACCCCCGACGACUGCACCGCCGUCGCGGACAAGUUCCCCGGCGCCGUCGCUCCCCUCGCCCCCGAGGGCUCCGGCUACCCCUCCUUCUGGGCCGUCCUCG